AGUGAACGCUGGCGGUAGGCCUAACACAUGCAAGUCGAACGGCAGCACAGUAAGAGCUUGCUCUUACGGGUGGCGAGUGGCGGACGGGUGAGGAAUACAUCGGAAUCUACUUUUUCGUGGGGGAUAAUGUAGGGAAACUUACGCUAAUACCGCAUACGACCUACGGGUGAAAGCAGGGGAUCUUCGGCCCUUGCGCGAUUGAAUGAGCCGAUGUCGGAUUAGCUAGUUGGCGGGGUAAAGGCCCACCAAGGCGACGAUCCGUAGCUGGUCUGAGAGGAUGAUCAGCCACACUGGAACUGAGACACGGUCCAGACUCCUACGGGAGGCAGCAGUGGGGAAUAUUGGACAAUGGGCGCAAGCCUGAUCCAGCCAUACCGCGUGGGUGAAGAAGGCCUUCGGGUUGUAAAGCCCUUUUGUUGGGAAAGAAAAGCAGCAGGUUAAUACCCCGCUGUUCUGACGGUACCCAAAGAAUAAGCACCGGCUAACUUCGUG
rnacentral:rRNA from 1 species